GACGAACGCUGGCGGCGUGCUUAACACAUGCAAGUCGAACGGAAAGGCCCUGCUUUUGUGGGGUGCUCGAGUGGCGAACGGGUGAGUAACACGUGAGUAACCUGCCCUUGACCUUGGGAUAACUUCACGAAACUGGGGCUAAUACCGGAUAGGAGCCACUGCUGCAUGGAGGGGGUUGGAAAGUUUCGGCGGUUGGGGAUGGACUCGCGGCUUAUCAGCCUGUUUGUGGGGUAGUGGCUUACCAAGGCUUUGACGGGUAGCCGGCCUGAGAGGGUGACCGGCCACAUUGGGACUGAGAUACGGCCCAGACUGCUACGGGAGGCAGCAGAGGAGAAUAUUGCACAAUGGGAGGAGGCCUGAUGCAGCAACGCCACGUGCGGGAGAACGGCCUUCGGGUAGUAAACCGCUUUCGCCUGUGACGAAGCGUGAGUGACGGUAAUGGGUAAAGAAGCGCCGGCUAACUACGUG
rnacentral:rRNA from 1 species